UACGGGGGGAGCAAGCGUUGUUCGGAUUUACUGGGCGUAAAGGGCGCGUAGGCGGCCACUGCAAGUCGGUUGUGAAAUCUCCGGGCUUAACUCGGAAAGGUCAACCGAUACUGCAGGGCUAGAGUGCGGAAGGGGCAACUGGAAUUCUCGGUGUAGCGGUGAAAUACGUAGAUAUCGAGAGGAACACCAGUGGCGAAGGCGAGUCCCUGGACAACACCUGACACUGAGGCAC
rnacentral:rRNA from 1 species